AAUGAACGUUGGCGGCGUGGAUUAGGCAUGCAAGUCGAGCGAGAAUCCCGGCUUGCCGGGAGGACAGCGGCGAAAGGGACAGUAAUGUGUAGAUCAUCUACCCUCAGGUCUGGGAUAGCCGCGGGAAACUGCGGGUAAUACCAGAUGAUGUCUCCGGAUCAAAGGUGUGAUUCCGCCUGGGGAUGAGUCUACAUCCUAUUAGCUAGUUGGCAGGGAAUGGCCUACCAAGGCGAUGAUGGGUAGCGGGUGUGAGAGCACGACCCGCGUCAUUGGGACUGAGACACUGCCCAGACACCUACGGGUGGCUGCAGUCGAGAAUCUUCGGCAAUGGGCGCAAGCCUGACCGAGCGACGCCGCGUGUGGGAUGAAGGCCUCGGUU
rnacentral:rRNA from 1 species